AACUCAGACUAAGAAGGUAUAUCCUUUUCAUAGUCUACCUUUAAUCAGUAAUUGAAAUAAAAUCUGAUUCUGAAUUUUAAAUGUUUCACUAAUAUCUAAUAGCAAUACUAAACCCUAGGGGGUUAAAAUGAUUUAAAUGGCAGUAGCAUACAUCAACAUAUGCAAAUAAAAAAUAAGAUUUUCACCUCACCUCCAAACAUUAAAUAGGAUCAAUUUAAGGUGUGAACAUAUUUUGAAACAAUUUGAUUUUCAAGAAGUAAUUUUUAUUACUAGGAAAUGAAUUUCAAGAGAAGUCUUCCCACUUUUUAAAUAUCCGACAAUAGCUACGUGACAUCUUACAGAAUAUGACAGUAAAAGCCAACCAGGACCAAAGAAAAUGUGGUUCAUCAAUUUACAUAUAAUCACAUUUAGAUUUUAAAGUGCUGCAAAGUGUUCCAUUCUAGUUAGGCCUGGCACAUGACUAAGAAUCAAUAACUGAAAGACUUUGGCGAAAGACUUUAGAAGCAGAAAGAUCAAGAUCCAAUUUUCCUUUCCCCCAAACUCCAGCCCACAGGGGCCCUGGCUCCCUCAGCUCUUUAGUAGACCACGCUUGGGCGACUACUCAUACUCUAACUCCUGCCGUCUGUAACAUUCGAUGAAUUACAACGACCAAUGAUGUGUUUACUUUAACUCUAAUUUCUCAGAGUAACAAUAUCAAAUAUAUUAAAUGUACUCCUUUAGCACAUUCAGAAAGGGUAUGGGACAUAGAGGCAAAACAGUUCCAUGAUGAAUAAUAAGAGGAAAAGUUCAUAAGAACGCAAGAGGGGAAAUAUUAUUAUGCAUUAAUUAGUUUAUUUAAGAAGUAAGUUAUUCUAACAUGCAUUUAAGAAACACUGAAAAGUAUACUGUAUUUUAUGUUGACCUAAAUCCAAAUCACUUUGAAAAUGGAUUACAGUUAAUAAAAAAUUAAAAUAAAAUUACUUAUCUCCCAGCAAUGAGAAAUCACUUAAUUGCCUAACCAUGUAAUGGUCUCUGGGGUUAUUUUAUUUCAGUCUUACCCUCCUUAGGUUUAUUUUCUUUUCCACCAUAUUCCAGACUUUUUUUUCGCAACAUUGUUAUUAAUAUCAUUGGCCCUUGUUGCAGAAAGCAGAAGUUUUAAUGUAUUUUAAUUUUGAUUAUUUCAUGCUGUGUAUUCUGCUGCUUUGUUGAUAUUUACUUACAUUUUUAAAUCAUCAAAAUAUUUUGUAAGCAAUGCUUGGGGAACACAUUUUUCUCAAUUAGUUAACAUGUUAAAAUAAUGUCAUUUUCUUUAAAGAUAGGUGGCAAUGAUCAAAAGGAGGAACAGCAGUUUCUUUAAACCCUUAACCGUAACGGCUAGUGGAGGUGCCAGCCCGCUACGUCUUCCUGUGUGCACAGCUAUUUAUAAACGGAGGAGUCAGAUGGUCUAUGCUUCUCCCCUAGGAGGGGAUUAAUAAAAUGGGUUUACUUCGAUCCCCGAAUUUCUAAGAUGGGAG
rnacentral:lncRNA from 1 species